rnacentral:rRNA from 1 species
CGCGUAGGUGGUUUGUUAAGUUGGAUGUGAAAGCCCCGGGCUCAACCUGGGAACUGCAUCCAAAACUGGCAAGCUAGAGUACGGUAGAGGGUGGUGGAAUUUCCUGUGUAGCGGUGAAAUGCGUAGAUAUCAGGAAGAACACCGAUGGCGAAGGCAGUCGGCUGGGGACUUACUGACGCUGAGGCUCGAAAGCGCGGGUAGCAAACA